AGGGGAAUAUUGGACAAUGGGCGCAAGCCUGAUCCAGCCAUGCCGCGUGAGUGAUGAAGGCCCUAGGGUUGUAAAGCUCUUUCACCGGUGAAGAUAAUGACGGUAACCGGAUAAGAAGCCCCGGCUAACUUCGUGCCAGCAGCCGCGGUAAUACGAAGGGGGCUAGCGUUGUUCGGAUUUACUGGGCGUAAAGCGCACGUAGGCGGACUUUUAAGUCAGGGGUGAAAUCCCGGGGCUCAACCCCGGAACUGCCUUUGAUACUGGAAGUCUUGAGUAUGGUAGAGGUGAGUGGAAUUCCGAGUGUAGAGGUGAGAUUCGUAGAUAUUCGGAGGAACACCAGUGGCGAAGGCGGCUCACUGGACCAUUACUGACGCUGAGGUGCGAAAGCGUGGGGAGCAAACAGG
rnacentral:rRNA from 1 species